rnacentral:rRNA from 1 species
GUUUAUGCACGUGGUAGGAGAGCGUUCUAGCGGCGGUGAAGCAUGACCGAGAGGACAUGUGGAGCUUCUAGAAGUGAGAAUGCCGGUAUGAGUAACGAAAGACAGGUGAGAAUCCUGUCCGCCGCAAGACUAAGGUUUCCUGGGGCAGGCUCGUCCGCCCAGGGUAAGUCGGGACCUAAGGCGAGGCCGAGAGGCGUAGUCGAUGGACAACAGGUUGAAAUUCCUGUACUGCACCGAAUCGUUAUGAGCGAUGGAGGGACGCAGGAGGCUAGCAGCGCGUGGUGCUGGAUACCACGUUCAAGCGUCAAGUCUGAGAGCGAGUCAAAUGCUUGCUCUCAUAAGGA